AGGUAAGCUACUAAGAGCGAAUGGUGGAUGCCUUGACUGGUAAAGGCGAUGAAGGACGUACUAGACUGCGAUAAGCUACGGGGAGCUGUCAAGAAGCUUUGAUCCGUAGAUUUCCGAAUGGGGCAACCCAAUGUAUAGAGAUAUACAUUACCUAUAUAGGAGCGAACGAGGGGAAUUGAAACAUCUUAGUACCCUCAGGAAAAGAAAUCAAUAGAGAUUGCGUCAGUAGCGGCGAGCGAAAGCGCAAGAGGGCAAACCCAGUGCUUGCACUGGGGGUUGUAGGACUGCAAUGUGCAAGAGGUAAGUUUAGCAGAACAUUCUGGAAAGUAUAACCAUAGAGGGUGAUAGUCCCGUAUGCGAAAAACAAACCUUAGCUAGCAGUAUCCUGAGUAGGGCGGGACACGAGGAAUCCUGUCUGAAUCCGGGUCGACCACGAUCCAACCCUAAAUACUAAUACCAGAUCGAUAGUGCACAAGUACCGUGAGGGAAAGGUGAAAAGAACUGAGGUGAUCAGAGUGAAAUAGAACCUGAAACCAUUUGCUUACAAUCAUUCAGAGCCCUAUGUAGCAAUACAGGGUGAUGGACUGCCUUUUGCAUAAUGAGCCUGCGAGUUGUGGUGUCUGGCAAGGUUAAGCAAACGCGAAGCCGUAGCGAAAGCGAGUCUGAAUAGGGCGCUUAGUCAGAUGCUGCAGACCCGAAACGAAGUGAUCUAUCCAUGAGCAAGUUGAAGCUAGUGUAAGAACUAGUGGAGGACUGAACCCAUAGGCGUUGAAAAGCCCCGGGAUGACUUGUGGAUAGGGGUGAAAGGCCAAUCAAACUUCGUGAUAGCUGGUUCUCUCCGAAAUAUAUUUAGGUAUAGCGUUGUGUCGUAAUAUAAGGGGGUAGAGCACUGAAUGGGCUAGGGCAUACACCAAUGUACCAAACCCUAUCAAACUCCGAAUACCUUAUAUGUAAUCACAGCAGUCAGGCGGCGAGUGAUAAAAUCCGUCGUCAAGAGGGAAACAACCCAGACUACCAGCUAAGGUCCCUAAGUCUUACUUAAGUGGAAAACGAUGUGAAGUUACUUAAACAACCAGGAGGUUGGCUUAGAAGCAGCCAUCCUUUAAAGAAAGCGUAAUAGCUCACUGGUCUAGUGAUUUUGCGCGGAAAAUAUAACGGGGCUAAAGUAAGUACCGAAGCUGUAGACUUAGUUUACUAAGUGGUAGGAGAGCGUUCUAUUUGCGUCGAAGGUAUACCGGUAAGGAGUGCUGGAGCGAAUAGAAGUGAGCAUGCAGGCAUGAGUAGCGAUAAUUAAUGUGAGAAUCAUUAACGCCGUAAACCCAAGGUUUCCUACGCGAUGCUCGUCAUCGUAGGGUUAGUCGGGUCCUAAGUCGAGUCCGAAAGGGGUAGACGAUGGCAAAUUGGUUAAUAUUCCAAUACCAACAUUAGUGUGCGAUGGAAGGACGCUUAGGGCUAAGGGGGCUAGCGGAUGGAAGUGCUAGUCUAAGGUCGUAGGAGGUUAUACAGGCAAAUCCGUAUAACAAUACUCCGAGAACUGAAAGGCUUUUUGAAGUCUUCGGAUGGAUAGAAGAACCCCUGAUGCCGUCGAGCCAAGAAAAGUUUCUAAGUUUAGCUAAUGUUGCCCGUACCGUAAACCGACACAGGUGGGUGGGAUGAGUAUUCUAAGGCGCGUGGAAGAACUCUCUUUAAGGAACUCUGCAAAAUAGCACCGUAUCUUCGGUAUAAGGUGUGGUUAGCUUUGUAUUAGGAUUUACUCCGAAAGCAAGGAAACUUACAACAAAGAGUCCCUCCCGACUGUUUACCAAAAACACAGCACUCUGCUAACUCGUAAGAGGAUGUAUAGGGUGUGACGCCUGCCCGGUGCUCGAAGGUUAAUUGAUGGGGUUAGCAUUAGCGAAGCUCUUGAUCGAAGCCCGAGUAAACGGCGGCCGUAACUAUAACGGUCCUAAGGUAGCGAAAUUCCUUGUCGGUUAAAUACCGACCUGCAUGAAUGGCGUAACGAGAUGGGAGCUGUCUCAAAGAGGGAUCCAGUGAAAUUGUAGUGGAGGUGAAAAUUCCUCCUACCCGCGGCAAGACGGAAAGACCCCGUGGACCUUUACUACAGCUUGACACUGCUACUUGGAUAAGAAUGUGCAGGAUAGGUGGGAGGCUUUGAGUAUAUGACGCCAGUUGUAUAUGAGCCAUUGUUGAG
rnacentral:rRNA from 1 species